GAUGAACGCUAGCGGCAGGCCUAACACAUGCAAGUCGAGGGGCAGCACAGAAACAGCAAUGUUUUGGUGGCGACCGGCGGACGGGUGCGUAACGCGUAUGCAACCUACCUUUAACAGGGGGAUAACGGAGAGAAAUUUCCACUAAUACCCCAUAACAUCGAUCAAGGCAUCUUGAUUGGUUGAAAACUCCGGUGGUUAAAGAUGGGCAUGCGUUGUAUUAGGUAGUUGGUGAGGUAAUGGCUCACCAAGCCUACGAUACAUAGGGGGACUGAGGGGUUAGCCCCCCACACUGGUACCGAGACACGGACCAGACUCCUACGGGAGGCAGCAGUGAGGAAUAUUGGACAAUGGGCGCAAGCCUGAUCCAGCCAUGCCGCGUGAGUGAAGAAGGCCUUCGGGUUGUAAAGCUCUUUUGUCCGGAAAGAAAAACCUUGGGUUAAUACCCUGAGGUUCUGACGGUACCGGAAGAAUAAGCACCGGCUAACUUCGUGCCAGCCGCCGCGGUAA
rnacentral:rRNA from 1 species